rnacentral:rRNA from 1 species
GAUGAACGCUAGCUACAGGCUUAACACAUGCAAGUCGAGGGACCGGCGCACGGGUGCGUAACACGUAUCCAACCUGCCCCUUACUCGGGGAUAGCCUUUCGAAAGAAAGCUUAAUACCCGAUAUAAAGGAUGGGAAUGCGUUACAUUAGGUUGUUGGUGAGGUAACGGCCCACCAAGCCUUCGAUGGAUAGGGGGACUGGGAGGAAGGACCCCAACAUUGGAAGUGGGACGCAGACCAAGCGCGUACGGGAGGCAGCAGUGAGGAAUAUUGGUCAAUGGGCGUUAGCCUGAACCAGCCAAGUAGCGUGAAGGAUGAAGGCUUAUGGGGCGUAAACUUAUGUUAUAUAAGAAUAAGUAAUAUAUUAAUAAGGAUCGGCUAACUCCAUGACAGGAACCGCGAUAAUUC